UCGAGGAUCUUCGGCAAUGGGCGCAAGCCUGACCGAGCGACGCCGCGUGUGCGAUGAAGGCCUUCGGGUUGUAAAGCACUGUCGAGGGGGAGGAAAACCGGGCAACCGGUCUGACCUAUCCCUGGAGGAAGCACGGGCUAAGUUCGUGCCAGCAGCCGCGGUAAGACGAACCGUGCGAACGUUGUUCGGAAUCACUGGGCUUAAAGGGCGCGUAGGCGGCGGCUCAAGUCGGGGGUGAAAUCUUUCCGCUUAACGGGAAAAGGGCCUUCGAUACUGGGCGGCUCGAGGGAGGUAGGGGCAUGCGGAACUUCCGGUGGAGCGGUGAAAUGCGUAGAUAUCGGAAGGAACGCCGGUGGCGAAAGCGGCGUGCUGGACCUCCACUGACGCUGAGGCGCGAAAGCUAGGGGAGCAAACGG
rnacentral:rRNA from 1 species